GCCGGCAGUAGGACACGGCCUUGUGGAAGUGGCAGAGCUUCUCGUUGCUCCGGGCCAGGCUCAGGGUCCAAGUCCGUGUCAGUUUCUACACAUUUCUGAAAUAUGCAGAGAAAACAAGCCGAGACAGGAUUUCCUCAAACUGUUUAAUAGUAAAUACUAAACAAGGAGGUACCACACUUUCAUACAAAAGGACUGCGAAUCAGUGUGUGCAGGUAAAACAACUCAGUACCCCAGUCAAGACAAAAAUAGUAGGAAAAAUCUUAAACAAAUACCUGCUUUAUUCAAACUAGCAACAUCUGGCCAUUCCUCUACAGAAACUGUUUGCUUCAAAGCAACUUUACAAGUUUUUUUUAUUAAUUCCAUAAUUUUAUCAAGAUUACAUCACAAAAAAAUCACACAAGAUAAUGACAUUUUGCAAAAAAAGCAUUUUUCAUUAAUGAGACUUUACAGAAUAUCUGCAUUUACUGCAAUAAAGAUUUGGUCAUAGUGGCAAAUUCUAAAUGUCUGUAAAGUUCACAUUGUUAAAUUGUUUUACAGUCUUAGUAUAAAAGGCAACAUUGUACAAAACCUAGUGUUAAAUACAAUCCGUUUGUACCAAUAAAAAAAGCCCACAGGUUUUAAUAGUUUUGUUUUUUAACUCACAAAAGCAGCAAGAUUUGGAAAAUCAGUCACUGACAUACCUCUUCAAUUCUUUACAUUAUCAAAAGACAAAAUGGCAAUUACAUUUUCUAAAUCCACUCUUUCCCCCAAAACACAAACAAGAUUCUGAUCGAGGUGGAAAUAUACUUAGGGGCUGAAAAUCUACAUUCAAAGCAGGAAGGUCUUAGCAAUGUUGGUACUCAAAAUACAGCCAAGAUUUAUCGGAGUCACGCACCGACUACAGGAGACAACUAGUAACCCCAGCUUUGUGCAGCAAUCAAGGUCUUCAGUACAUCACGCAAGCGCUUUGUGCAUUGAUGUUUGUUGGAUCGGACAAUAUGUAAAUGUGAUGUUUGCUGGUGGGGUUUGUAAAGAUUGUAGAGACAGCAUAAGCUGUACACACAGCCACGAUCUACUAAAUCAAUUGCAAUCUAUAGCAAUGGAUUUAGGGACUUUUUUCUGUUGCUGGGUUCAUCUGGUUAUAGAAAAGGAUAGAAUACUAGAAAAUUAUUUAACAAUCUAUUUUCAGGUUGGUACAAUCUCUCUAUUUAAAAGUAAUGACAAACCCAGCUGUAAAACGUGCAUGGAGGCUUCACCUGACAAAACUGUCCGUUACCCUUACUGACUGCAAUACACACUGAAGUAUCUGUCACAGCAACUUGUCCAAUUACAAAGUGACUGAUUGCAGUGGCAAAGCUUGCGAGCCACAAAGCACCAUUCCUAAAUAGAAGGUGUCAGAAGCUAACAAGAAAAUUGGAGGCAAAAGCUUCAAUUGUUUUCAGUCUCAACCAUUAUUCACAUAACUCCUAUACAGUGAUGUUCCCUACUCACUCAGAAUUCCUGGGGGGGGAAGGGUUAGCAAGCAAGAAAAAAAUUCCAGGGAAGAGGGCCUUUGGUGUCUGCUCAAGCAGCAGGGUUGAGUGGCUACAUUGCUGAGUCUGUGCAAGUGGAUAUAUUGUGGAGACCAAAAGGAGAAGUGAAAAAGUGCAACGUGGAUAAAAUAGAGCGAUUACAAUAUUCAGACAUGUACUUACUGAAAAGUCAGUGAGGAGAUCAUAUUAAUCAAAUCUGUGUAGGAGUGUAUUGCAGAAUACAAUGUCCUGCCAAUCUGGGGUAAAGCCAAAGUGGACAUUCUCAAAUAUGGUUCAAUGAGGGUGAUGGAGCAUUAAUUAGUUCUUUAUCACAAUUGUUCAUCCACAACUGUAACUCACUGGCAAUCAGUUUAGCAUUGCUAACACAAUCUGAAUCAGAGUACGUGUUUGGAUGUUAUCCAGGGAUGGUUGCCACUCAUAAGAUGGAAGAAACGACAUAGUGAUAUAUUUACAAACCAGAAUUAGGCUGAAUUCAGCCUAAUCCCGAACCAGUUACAUGUAUAACAAAAAUAUUUUAGCUGCUGCAGUGAAUCCAUCAGUGCUUUUCCUCAUCCAUAAACAAUUGUUUCCAUUUUGAAAGCUAUGUGGGGAACACCCUCUCCUCCUGCCACCCAAAAAAACAUUCAAGGGCAUUUUUGGCAAAUGUUUUACAUUCCAAAAUUGCGAGUCACCUGAGGCAAAGCUUCCAAAAAAUAUUAAAAUGCAAAUGGCGAGACACGGAGUCAGUGCUAAUUUCUGACCUGCACCUGACGCUGCUUUGGACCUUGAUUGCACAUGCAUUUCAGUCACAGCCACGGAGCCAGAGCUUUCUCAGUGACUUCCUUCACAGGGUAAUUCUGUUAAUGCUUUUGUUGCUGGUUUGAUGCAGGUGGGGAUUAUCUUAUCUGAGUGGGCUAUUUGCCACAAAACAAUUCAAAAAUAUACUUUUCUUUAAACCUCAUCAACUCUAUGUUUAAUAUUGUUUGCACUUUAUCAAACAGUAAAUUUAGUCAGGAAGACAGAAAAGCUCUACAAAGUGAGAAAAAGGCUGUAACAUGCAAAUAACGCUUGGCACUAAAUCGAGUUAAACAAGUCACAUCACAUUUUGCUGAGGAUUUUAGUGCAGAUACAGUACAUGCAGAAUAUACACACAAACUUCAGACAACAUUAAACAUAGUUUUUUUCUGUUAAAUUUAUAUUCCAGACAACAAUUCUAACCACAAAUGAGUGCCAAAAACCCACAAAAAACAUUUUUUGGACACUGAAAAAAAUGUCUAGCGUUUCUCUACUGAUGUUACUGUGGGAUAUGGGAAAGUAAAACUUACACCGCCACCCACGGAGCAUGAGAACACAUCACAACCCCAUCCUCCUUACAGCAAAAUGUGACAAACGCUCCUAGACACUUCAAAGAAAAAGUAGAAAACAAACGAGACAGAAGCCAUCUUUCUAAGUUGAUUGGCUGCUUAUUACGAGAUACAAACUCUCUGCAUGUGCUAGACAGGUUGCUCCUCAAAAAGGAGUAGAAAUAAGCAUCAAAACGCUGCAAUUUACUUAAGAAUUUCUAGAAAAAUAGACUCUUAAACAAGAUUUAAAUUUAAAUCUUUUAUAUAUUGGUUUAAAGCUACCCUUCUAGCACCGGUUGGCAGCACAGAAAGUUAUGAAAUACAUCAAUUUGAUAAGGUCAAAACAAGGUCAAAGGUCAGUAGAGGUCAAGCAUCAGAGACAACGAGUGGACGGACGGUGAGGUGGACGCCACAGCAACAUGCUGCGCAAACGAUGAACAAACGGCACGAAGAGAUCUAGAAAACAAAAACAAACCAGAGAGGGAGAAGAACGAAGUUACACAACGCCAUAAAAAAGGAAAAGGAAAAAAAAUCAAAUCAACAAAUGAUCAACUACGAGAGACUGGAAUAACGACCACAGCUGAGAGCACAAACACAUGAGUUUGCACACAUACAAGUUUGACAUUAGAGACUUCGACCUCAGUGAUCAGAAGGUAAUGGAGAGAGGAAAGCAAU